rnacentral:lncRNA from 1 species
CCUAGGACUUUCUUCUCUGAGCUGAGUCUCCUUUGGAACUUUGCAGGUUCUAUUUGCUUUUCCCCAGCUGGAAUCUUUUUCUGGUGUUUGCCUUUCUGACUAGGUGUUGCAAGCAUAAAGUGCUGUGGGUGUAGGUACUAACCCUGGCUCGUGUGACAAAAGCCAACCGAGGUUGCUGCCAGGCGGCCUCGGAGUGUGUAUUCAGUAGGUGCACAGUACGUUCUGAAGUGAACCUCAUUCUGGGGCCCCGGCACACUCGGCUGUGUUCCUUGCACUCUUCUGCAUGUGCCCAGUCUGGCCCGACUGCCCCUUGUGGUGU